rnacentral:rRNA from 1 species
AGAGUUUGAUCCUGGCUCAGGACGAACGCUGGCGGCGUGCCUAAAACAUGCAAGUCGAACGACCCUUCGGGGUAGUGGCGAACGGCGUAGUAAUACAUGAGAAACGUGCCCUUAAGACUGGGAUAUACCGAGGAAACCCGGAGCAAUACCAGAUGUGGCGGAGUGGUGGCAUCACCAUUCCAUUAAACGGUUUUUCGCUUAAGGAGCGUCUCAUGGCCUAUCAGGUAGUUGGUGAGGUAAUGGCUCACCAAGCCGACGACGGGUAGCGGGUCUGAGAGGAUGAUCCGCACGAGUGGGACUGCGACACGGCCCACACACCUACGGGUGGCAGCAGUUGGGAAUCUUGGACAAUGGGCGCAAGCUGAUCCAGCAAUGCCGCGUGCGUGAAGAAGGCCUUCGGGUUGUAAAGCGCUUUUGUUCGGGAGGAAAUCCUAGUGGCUAAUAUCCAUUGGGGAUGACAGUACCGGAAGAAUAAGGACCGGCUAACUACGUGCCAGCAGCCGCGGUAAUACGUAGGGUCCAAGCGUUAAUCGGAAUUACUGGGCGUAAAGGGUGCGCAGGUGGUUGAUUAAGUGUGAUGUGAAAGCCCCGGGCUCAACCUGGGAAUUGCAUUGCAAACUGGUCAACUAGAGUAUGGCAGAGGGGGGUGGAAUUCCGCGUGUAGCAGUGAAAUGCGUAGAGAUGCGGAGGAACACCGAUGGCGAAGGCAACCCCCUGGGCUAAUACUGACACUCAUGCACGAAAGCGUGGGAGCAAACAGGAUUAGAUACCCUGGUAGUCCACGCCCUAAACGAUGUCUACUAGUUGUUGGGGGAUUCGUCCCUUAGUAACGAAGCUAACGCGUGAAGUUGACCGCCUGGGGAGUACGGCCGCAAGGUUGAAACUCAAAGGAAUUGACGGGGACCCGCACAAGCGGUGGAUGAUGUGGUUUAAUUCGAUGCAACGCGAAAAACCUUACCCACCUUUGACAUGUACGGAAGUGACCAGAGAUGGACAUGUGCUCGAAAGAGAACCGUAACACAGGUGCUGCAUGGCUGUCGUCAGCUCGUGUCGUGAGAUGUUGGGUUAAGUCCCGCAACGAGCGCAACCCUUGCCAUUAGUUGCUACAUUUAGUUGGGCACUCUAAUGGGACUGCCGGUGACAAACCGGAGGAAGGUGGGGAUGACGUCAAGUCCUCAUGGCCCUUAUAGGUGGGGCUACACACGUCAUACAAUGGCUGGUACAAAGGGUUGCCAACCCGCGAGGGGGAGCUAAUCCCAUAAAGCCAGUCGUAGUCCGGAUCGCAGUCUGCAACUCGACUGCGUGAAGUCGGAAUCGCUAGUAAUCGUGGAUCAGAAUGUCACGGUGAAUACGUUCCCGGGUCUUGUACACACCGCCCGUCACACCAUGGGAGCGGGUCUCGCCAGAAGUAGGUAGCCUAACCGCAAGGAGGGCGCUUACCACGGCGGGGUUCGUGACUGGGGUGAAGUCGUAACAAGGUAACCGU